rnacentral:rRNA from 1 species
GGAUAAGCGCUGAAAGCAUCUAAGUGCGAAGCCAGCCGCAAGAUGAGAACUCCAUUGAGGGUCGUUGUAGACGACGACGUUGAUAGGGUGCAGGUGUAAAGACAGCGAUGUCAAAGCCGAGCACUACUAAUUGCCCGAAACUUUCUUCG